rnacentral:rRNA from 1 species
AUACGUAGGUGGCGAGCGUUGUCCGGAAUGAUUGGGCGUAAAGGGCGCGUAGGCGGCCGCUUAAGUCUGGAGUGAAAGUCCUGUUUUCAAGAUGGGAAUUGCUUUGGAUACUGGGGGGCUUGAGUGCAGGAGAGGUUAUCGGAAUUCCCGGUGUAGCGGUGAAAUGCGUAGAGAUCGGGAGGAACACCAGUGGCGAAGGCGGGUACCUGGACUGCAACUGAGGCUGAGGCGCGAAAGUGUGGGGAGCAAACAGGAUUAGAUACCCUGGUAGUCCACAAUGUAAACGAUGAAUGCUAGGUGUAAGAGGUAUCGACCCCUUUUGUGCCGGAGUCAACACAAUAAGCAUUCCGCCUGGGGAGUACGGCCGCAAGGUUGAAACUCAAAUGAAUUGGCGGGG